AUACGGAGGGUGCGAGCGUUAAUCGGAAUUACUGGGCGUAAAGCGUGCGUAGGCGGUUAAUUAAGUCAGAUGUGAAAGCCCAGGGCUCAACCUUGGAACUGCAUUUGAAACUGGUUAACUGGAGUAUGGUAGAGGGGGGUAGAAUUUCUGGUGUAGCGGUGAAAUGCGUAGAUAUCAGAAGGAAUACCGAUGGCGAAGGCAGCCCCCUGGACCAAUACUGACGCUGAGGUACGAAAGCGUGGGGAGCAAACAGGAUUAGAAACCCCAGUAGUCC
rnacentral:rRNA from 1 species